rnacentral:rRNA from 1 species
GUGGGGAAUAUUGGACAAUGGGCGCAAGCCUGAUCCAGCAAUGCCGCGUGGGUGAAGAAGGCCUUCGGGUUGUAAAGCCCUUUUGUACGGGAAGAAAUCAUUCGGGUUAAUACCCUGGGUGGAUGACGGUACCGUAAGAAUAAGCACCGGCUAACUUCGUGCCAGCAGCCGCGGUAAUACGAAGGGUGCAAGCGUUAAUCGGAAUUAAUGGGCGUAAAGCGUGCGUAGGUGGUUGUUAAAGUCUGUAGGGAAAGCCCUGGGCUCAACCUGGGAAUGGCGAUGGAAACUGGGCGACUAGAGUGCGGUAGAGGAUGGCGGAAUUCCCGGUGUAGCGGUGAAAUGCGUAGAGAUCGGGAGGAACAUCCGUGGCGAAGGCGGCCAUCUGGACCAGCACUGACACUGAGGCACGAAAGCGUGGGGAGCAAACAGGAUUAGAAACCCCGGUAGUCC